rnacentral:rRNA from 1 species
UGGCGAACGGGUGAGUAACACGUAGGUGAUCUACCUCUGGAUGGGGGAUAGCCCGUGGAAACACGGGGUAAUACCGCAUGAGGCCUUGUGGAGGAAAGGUGCGUCUGGGGAUGAGCCUGCGGUCCAUUAGUUAGUUGGCGGAGUAACGGCCCACCAAGACGACGAUGGAUAGCCGGCCUGAGAGGGUGGACGGCCACACUGGAACUGAGACACGGUCCAGACUCCUACGGGAGGCAGCAGCUAAGAAUCUUCCGCAAUGGGGGAAACCCUGACGGAGCGACGCCGCGUGGAUGAUGAAGGCCGUAAGGUUGUAAAAUCCUUUUGUCGGUGAAGAAUGACGUUAGCCGAUGAAUAAGCCCCGGCUAAUUACGUGCCAGCAGCCGAGGUAAUACGUAUG